GACGAACGCUGGCGGCGUACUUAACACAUGCAAGUCGAACGGAAAGGCCCUGCUUUUGUGGGGUCCUCGAGUGGCUAACGGGUGAGUAACACGUGAGUAACCUGCCCUUCACUUUGGGCUAACUUCAGGAAACUGGGUCUAAUAGCGGAUAGGAGCUCCUUCUCCUUUGUCGCGUUUGUAAAGUUUCUGCGGUUUGUUAUGGACUCGCGGCUUAUCAGUUUGUUGGUGGGGUAUUGGCUUACCAAGGCUUUGACGGGUAGCCGGCCUGAGGGGGUGACGGGACACAUUGGGACUGAGAUAAGGCACAGACUACUACGGGAGGGAGCAGAGGGGAAGAGUACACAAUGGGAGGAAGCCAGCUGUAGCACCGCCGCGUGGGGGAAGACGGCAUUCGGGUUGUAAACCGAUUUCGUCUGUGACGAAGAGAGAGUGACGGUAAUAGAUAAAGAAGCACCGGCUAACUACGUG
rnacentral:rRNA from 1 species